UAGUCUGCGACGUGCUCCAUCCAAGCAGCGCGAAGGGGCGUCAACAGAUGCCGGCGUGCCGCUGCAAAGCUUCCGCCUAUUAGCCCUGUUUCCUGGCGGUUCCGGUGCGGCGGACCGUGGACAACGACGAGGAUGGACACACGCAUGGAGCACCCGCUCCUGAGUUCUACCGGCACCGUCCUAGUGUGAGGCCAUGAACACAUGCCCGUUGGGACAUUCCAUCACCACCGGUCAGGACUCGUGUGGAGGAAGACCAUCUCCUCUACAGCGGAAGGCCCCGUAGCGAGGCUCUGUCACAGCGAUCGCUGUCGGUAGGAUAGUAUACGUACUUGGAACAUAAAAUUGCAGGUCUACACACUGUAAAAAAAAAAAUUAGUAAGUUUACUCACCAGUGGCUGCUAGCUCUGUUGCCUGCGUAUGUGCCGUAACCUAGUUAUUGCAAAAAAAAUCGUUUGGAGUGCACACUGCACAACUUCCAUAAGCGCAAAGAAUGUCACUCACUUUAAAGUGAGAUUAAACUGCGAAAGCCCAACCUGUACUGUGCAGGGUGAACUCCGAACGGAUUUUGUGCAGCAUAUAGGCUACGGCCCCAUAUGCCGGCAACAGAGUUAGCGGUCACUUGUGCAGUAAAAUUACGGACAUUUUCUUACAGUGCAGUAUCUCGCUACACUCCGGUUGCAGGAGUGAACCAGUUUAAGUUCAUUCAUUAGCAGUAAAUAAUAAUGAUAUGCAAAGUUGUUAGCUAGCUUAUACGUAUAAGUACAUACCCCUAGAUAACCUAAAUACGCAUAAUAAUUGAACAACUAUAGCUGAGGGGAUGUACAGAAUGAAGAAAAAUAGGUCUACCGUAACUCAACAACCAUGUGUGAAUGUCCAAAAGAUUCCACACUUAUUUUGCCGUCAGCACGCACCGCGGUCACAUUCCGCGUAUGCAAGUCCCGUAGUUUGUAAUAGUAGUAGCCUGUUUGUUUUUCUUCUUCAAGAAUGCGUGCUCAUGACUGUUUUGGAUAGUAUUGCCAGCUACGAACUGCACGUUUGCAGCGGCGAAAUCGACAGAAGAAAGGUCUACCUCCUUCACGGUUGAUUAGGAUUCACUGUGCAGUAAGACUCAUAGGUGCAUGCAGGACUCUUGUUCCUGCUUCUUCGACGUAUACCCACUUAGAGGGGGAACCUGCAUUGUAUUUGUUGCGAACGUACCAGUUAGUUUGAAUAUAAUACGUGUUGUGCCAUGUUCGAGUUAAUAAAAUUAUUUCAUUUA